UGGUAGCCAAGGAGACAUCUAAAGGAGGCGGUGGCAUAUGUGAGUUUCUCUUGCAUUUAUGCCGUUUUAAAUGGAUGUACUGUACAGCAUUUUGUAGUUUGCUGUUCACUAAGCGCUUCAGGUCGUAAACUGAGGCAAUGAAUGGGCAACAGGGAAAUGUAACAUUCAAAAAAUGGUCAAGCACACUGCAACCUUGUACACCUUGUACUACCCAGUGGUGAAAAAUGGAAAGUGAGAGAUAACAGAAUGGCGGUAAGAGAUGGUGUUGCAAGUCAAUCUCCAGUCGUCUUCCCGUAGUGGAC